rnacentral:rRNA from 1 species
GACGAACGCUGGCGGCGUGCUUAACACAUGCAAGUCGAACGGAAAGGCCUGCUUUCCCUUGUGGAUUGCGGGUGCUCGAGUCGCGAACGGGUGAGUAACACGUGAGUGAUCUGCCCCCAACUUGGGUAUAAGCCUGGGAAACUGGGUCUAAUUCCCGAUAGGACUGCAGGGUGGUGCCUGUGGUGGAAAACGAUUUUCUAGUGGUUGGGGAUGAGCUCGCGGCCUAUCAGCUUGUUGGUGGGGUAAUGGCCUACCAAGGCGGCGACGGGUAGCCGGCCUGAGAGGGUGGACGGCCACAUUGGGACUGAGAUACGGCCCAGACUCCUACGGGAGGCAGCAGUGGGGAAUAUUGCACAAUGGGCGGAAGCCUGAUGCAGCGACGCCGCGUGGGGGAUGACGGCCUUCGGGUUGUAAACUCCUUUCGACCGCGAGGAAGCCACCUGGUUGGAAGGGUGGUGACGGUAGUGGUAGAAGAAGCACCGGCUAACUACGUG